rnacentral:rRNA from 1 species
AUUGAACGCUGGCGGCAGGCCUAACACAUGCAAGUCGAACGGUAACAGGAAGCAGCUUGCUGCUUCGCUGACGAGUGGCGGACGGGUGAGUAAUGUCUGGGAAACUGCCUGAUGGAGGGGGAUAACUACUGGAAACGGUAGCUAAUACCGCAUAACGUCGCAAGACCAAAGAGGGGGACCUUAGGGCCUCUUGCCAUCGGAUGUGCCCAGAUGGGAUUAGCUAGUAGGUGGGGUAACGGCUCACCUAGGCGACGAUCCCUAGCUGGUCUGAGAGGAUGACCAGCCACACUGGAACUGAGACACGGUCCAGACUCCUACGGGAGGCAGCAGUGGGGAAUAUUGCGCAAUGGGCGCAAGCCUGAUGCAGCCAUGCCGCGUGUAUGAAGAAGGCCUUCGGGUUGUAAAGUACUUUCAGCGGGGAGGAAGGGAGUAAAGUUAAUACCUUUGCUCAUUGACGGUACCCGCAGAAGAAGCACCGGCUAACUCCGUG